CGCGCGCAAGGCUAGACCUUGCCGGGCCGCGUUACGGGGAAGCCCCAGCAAGGAGCGCGUCAGAGGAGGGACGUGCUGCCAGCCACGGCAAGUCACCAGGCUCACGGGCCCGGAGAGCGCCGCGGCCAGGCGCCGCCUUCCGCUCCGCUCCGCUCCGCUCCCCUCCCCCCCGGGCACCGAGCUGCGCGCGGCCGGCCGGCGCGGGCGGGCGGGGGGGGGGGCUGCACCCCGCUCUCCUGCGGGCUCCCUGCGCGCAGGGGGAGGCUCGGCGCUGGGUCUACGCGCCGGAGGCAGGUCAAUGAAGCUGUACAUCUUACAUAUUCAAAUACGACACUAAAGGUGAGACUCAUUCCUGCUCCAGCUCUUUACACCAGGUAAAGGGGCUAAAGAAGUUCUACAAAGUUCUGGAUCCAGCCAGGAGAGAAUUUCCUCAGUGAAGGAACUGAGGAAGACAGUCACAGGCUGCAUUUUGAAGAUCUCCACAAAAGCCCUGGCAUGGCAGGGUUUGCCUUUGGUCCACAGUUAAAAGGACACACAACAGCAGUGGAGCACUGAAUGGAUGCAGCAGAACAAAUGUAAAGGACGGAAGUUAUUGCAAUUAUAUAAAAAAUGGAGAAAGAGGGGAGAUGCAAACGCCCUUCUGCGAAAUAACCCUCUAUCUUUUAUGCAUACUCAGUGCACAUUUCCUAUACUUAAAGUAUAUGAAAAGUGUACGAAUAUAAAACUAGUGUGGUUUCUUUUUUUUUCUCUUUUUUUUUUCUUUUUUUAAAGAAACAGGUGACAAGAGAAGAGAGAGGAGGAGACAGAGAAAGCAGAGGACAGAAGGAGAAAUAUUACAGUGGAGCAACUCCGCCAACUCCAGUGGAAUCACACUUGUGCAGAGGAUCCCAGUUUAAAGAGAAGAGAGUGUUUUCCUUUUUAACAACAGUACUUGCCAGAAGUUUAAAAAAAAUCUCAGAACUGAAACACUCUUCUAAAAAGGAGAGUCAGAUUUCACGAUUCAGAUUUUGAGUGACCUUGCUCAUUUUACAAAUCUUACAAAGCUAUGGAAUUAUCUCAGAAACUAUGUUUUCCUUCCCCCUUUAGUGCUAUAAAUUCAAGACAAAAGUAUGCAGAGAGCAUGAAGAUAUUCCACUAUAAAUGAAGGGGUCCUAUACCUCUUU